rnacentral:rRNA from 1 species
UCUUCCCUCUUUCUUCGUGCCUAAUACAUGCAAGUCGAGCGAACAGACGAGGAGCUUGCUCCUCUGACGUUAGCGGCGGACGGGUGAGUAACACGUGGAUAACCUACCUAUAAGACUGGGAUAACUUCGGGAAACCGGAGCUAAUACCGGAUAAUAUAUUGAACCGCAUGGUUCAAUAGUGAAAGACGGUUUUGCUGUCCCUUAUAGAUGGAUCCGCGCCGCAUUAGCUAGUUGGUAAGGUAACGGCUUACCAAGGCGACGAUGCGUAGCCGACCUGAGAGGGUGAUCGGCCACACUGGAACUGAGACACGGUCCAGACUCCUACGGGAGGCAGCAGUAGGGAAUCUUCCGCAAUGGGCGAAAGCCUGACGGAGCAACGCCGCGUGAGUGAUGAAGGUCUUCGGAUCGUAAAACUCUUUUAUUAGGGAAGAACAAAUGUGUAAGUAACUAUGCACGUCUUGACGGUACCUAAUCAGAAAGCCACGGCUAACUACGUG